rnacentral:rRNA from 1 species
AGUGGCGAACGGGUGAGUAAAGUAUCGGAACGUGCCCAGUCGUGGGGGAUAACGUAGCGAAAGUUACGCUAAUACCGCAUACGAUCUAUGGAUGAAAGCGGGGGAUCGCAAGACCUCGCGCGAUUGGAGCGGCCGAUAUCAGAUUAGGUAGUUGGUGGGGUAAAGGCUCACCAAGCCGACGAUCUGUAGCUGGUCUGAGAGGACGACCAGCCACACUGGGACUGAGGCACGGCCCACACUCCUACGGGAGGCAGCAGUGGGGAAUUUUGGACAAUGGGCGCAAGCCUGAUCCAGCCAUGCCGCGUGCAGGAUGAAGGCCUUCGGGUUGUAAACUGCUUUUGUACGGAACGAAAAGGUUUGGCCUAAUAAGCUGAGCUCAUGACGGUACCGUAAGAAUAAGCACCGGCUAACUACGUGCCAGCAGCCGCGGUAAUACGUAGGGUGCGAGCGUUAAUCGGAAUUACUGGGCGUAAAGCGUGCGCAGGCGGUUAUGUAAGACAGAUGUGACAUCCCCGGGCUCAACCUGGGAACUGCAUUAGUGACUGCAUAGCUGGAGUACGGCAGAGGGGGGAUGGAAUUCCGCGUGUAGCAGUGAAAUGCGUAGAUAUGCGGAGGAACACCGGAUGGCGAAGGCAAUCCCCUGGGCCUGUACUGACGCUCAUGCACGAAAGCGUGGG